GGUCAUCAGGUGUGAACUCUGCUAUGGAUCAGUGUGAGGACACCGAGGAGGGACCCCUGAAAACCGGUCUGUGUGGGGACCAUGAGAUCCAGAUCAAAGAUCAGAGACCACAGCAGAACACAGCGCCCUCUGCUGGACCUGAACCUGAACCCACUUUGGUGUCCCUGAAGAGUGACUGGUCAAAGGGAAAGCUCAUU